CUCAGCUUCACCACCAUUUGCAUUUGCCUACCGGUCGCUAAGAAUGAAGAAGAGAACCUAACGAACGGCACCGGAGAAGAAGCUAGUUGAAAAAGUUUAGAAGGACUCAUAUGGACAAUAUGGACAAUAUGGAAGAACUCAGACUAUAUUAUUUUAUGUUCAUAUGUUAUAUUUUCCUACUGAAUGUCAUGAUUGCCGCAUAUGCAAUAAAGCAGACCACUAUACAAAAUAGUAUGGUCCAACACGAGAUUGAUACGACAUCUGUUAGGCGCCGCAAACAAUAUGAAUACUUUCGUCGACUGGUAUACGAAAGCGAUAUUCAGUGUAUUGAUAAACUACGCAUGGAUCGCCAAUGUUUCCAUAGUUUAUGCCAAUUGCUAACCAUUACCGGUGGUUUGCGUGGUACAAGAAAUGUUUUGGUUGAGGAGAUGAUCGCAAUGUUUUUGAAUAUUGUGGCACACCAUGUCAAGAAUAGGGUAAUUAAGUUUGAUUUCGUCCGAUCUGCCGAAACAGUUAGUCGGCAUUUCCAUGCCGUUUUAAAGGCUAUCACUCUUUAUCAUAAAGUGUUAUUAAAGAAACCAGAACCUGUCCUCGAGGAUUCAAUUGAUUUUCGGUGGAAAUGGUUCAAGAAUUGCCUUGGAGCACUAGAUGGAACACAUAUCAAAGUAAAUGUGCCUAAA